GAAAGAGUCUGAGACUUUGGGUUGGAUGGUAGAAACGACCGACCAUUUGCUAAGAAACAUCAUAAAGACUUAGAAAGAGUCCGAGACUUGGAAAGAGUCCGAGACUUUGGGUUUGAUGGUAAAAGAAACAUCAUAAAGACAUAGAAAGAGUCCGAGAGUUUGGGUUGGAUGGUAAAAAUGACCGACAUUUUUUAAGAAACAUCAUAAAGACAUAGAAAGAGAUUGAGACUUUGGGUUGGAUGGUAAAAACGACCGACCAUUUGUUAAGAAACAUCAUAAAGACAUAGAAAGAGUCUGAGACUUCGAUUGAGUCUGAGACUUUGGGUUGGAUGGUAAAAACGACCGACCAUUUGUUGAAUUGAAAUAAACUAACGGCUUAAAAACAGAGCCAUAAGACAUAAGGACUUGACAAAGUUCUAAGGUCUGAUCACUUGUUGGAUGGUAGAAAACGACCAACAUUUUGAGGAAGUUAAGAUAAAGAUACUUCACAAACCGAUGAAGCGUUUUAAAAUUUGUUGGAUGGUAAAAACGACCAACAUCUUGAGGAAGUAAUAAGAUAAAGAUACUUGAAAAACCUGUGAAGCUUUUUAAAGACUUGUUGGAUGGUAAAACGACCAACAGCUUCAGAUAAAGACUAUGGAGGGGUUAAGACUUGUUGGAUGGUAAAAACGACCAACAUCUUGAGGAAGUCUUAAGAUAAAGAUACUUGACAAACCUAUGAAGCUUUUUAAGACUUGUUGGGUGGUAAAAACGACCAACAGCUUCAGAUAAAGAAUAUGGAGGGGUUAAGACUUGUUGGAUGGUAAAAACGACCAGCUUCUUAGGAUAAAAAGGUUAUGAUAAUGACUGAACCUAAAGCUAAUAAUAGAUUUACAGCUUAAAGAAGUCUUAAAAUAAAAACAGAGCCUAAAACAAAUGGAGAAACAGUGGAGGGCUUAACUAGUUAACUGGCUCAAGUUACUUUGCUUUGUUGGAUAGAAAAUACGACCAAUAGCUUCAAAGAACAAGGUAAGUAUUCAACAUUUAUGUUAAAUCAAGACUAACUAGUUUUAUUUUUCUCAGGUUAUGUGCUUCUGAUGGUGUUCAAAUUGGUAGACUUUGAGGAGAUUUAAAAUGUAGCAGACUUCUGGAACAAGUAUGUACUUUCAAACCUUUUUGUAAUUAGUUGAUAGUGAUACAAUUUUGAAAAUCAUAAGGAAGAGACACAGACGUUAAGUAAAAUGACUUGUUUUGAUUUUUUUUCCAGGUAUAUGCUUCAGAAGUGUGCCAAGGACAUCUGUAAGUGUAGCAAAAUUAUGUGACCAGGUUUAUGCUUUUCUAAAAUUGUCUGUGAAAAAUUCAUAGUAUUACAUAUGUGAUUAUUUUACAUAUUAAGUUUAGUGUAUACGUCAAGUAAGAAAUUAGAAAUGCCUAGUUAGAAAUGUUUAUUAAAUAGCUCUCUCUUGAUAACAUUACUAUCCUUGAUCUAGUAUUCAUUAGAUUAUAGGAACUUCUUGCUACCAUUGUUAAAAAGGUAGAGUUUUGUUUUGGGUAACGUUCCAAUACCGUAUUGGAACGUUACAUUGACAUUGUGUGCUUAAAAUAGUUAUUAUCUCUAUGUUUGUGUAUGUAUUGCAGAGUCUCUUAUUUUAGUCGCUUGUACCAUAUUUAUUUUGAAGUAGCAAAGACUUGUGCAUAUUAUGGAUUGUAGUUUUCUUGAACCUCUAUAAUAUUUUUUUUGUGUUAUGCUCAAAACAUUCUGCAUCUCAAAACCCUUUGAGAUUAUUCUACUCAUGUGAAUGACAUUUUAAAAUUCUGCAUCAUUGUGUAGAAUAGCAUUUUCUCUUAUCUAUGAUGAGAAGGUAGGUUUUACUUAACAUUACCUUGUGUAUAUAAUAUUUAUCAUCUCUGUUUUGAUGCUUCUAUGUAACAUAAGGUUUCUCAUUUUAUGAAAUGAAUGCAUCUUGUAGUGUCUCUUUAUAAAUUUACUAUGAAUGUAGAUGUGAUUCCAACAGAUGAAUGUAGUAAUUUUCUUCAAUCUCAAAUGUAUAUGUUUUGCGUUAUGUUCUGAACCCUUGUUGAUUGAUAUUUCGGUAUUUUGUAUCUUUAACCGAUGAUUACAAUAUUAAAUUCUGCAAAUCAUGUUGCUUGAGUCUUUACUAUACAAACUGAUUGAAAAUAUCUCUGUUAUGGUACUAUAGAGUCUACUCUAAAUGUUACUGAGUUGAUGGAGCUUGGAAUCUAUUGAAUUACUAGAAUGUGAAAUCUUUCUUGAUUUUCCU
rnacentral:lncRNA from 1 species